CCUGUACGAUUGAUGGCUUAGUGAGGCUUCAAGAUUGGCUCAGAGAAGGGGGCAACUCCAUCUUGGAACUGAGAAUUUAGUCAAACUUGGUCAUUUAGAGGAACUAAAAGUCGUAACAAGGUUUCCGUAGGUGAACCUGCGGAAGGAUCAUUA
rnacentral:rRNA from 1 species